GUCCCCUUCGUCUAGCGGUCCAGGACAUCGCCCUCUCACGGCGAAAACAGGGGUUCGAUUCCCCUAGGGGAUACCA
rnacentral:tRNA from 1 species